AACGAACGCUGGCGGCAUGCUUAACACAUGCAAGUCGAACGAGACCUUCGGGUCUAGUGGCGCACGGGUGCGUAACGCGUGGGAAUCUGCCCUUAGGUACGGAAUAACUCAGAGAAAUUUGUGCUAAUACCGUAUGAUGUCGAAAGACCAAAGAUUUAUCGCCCAAGGAUCGGCCCGCGUCUGAUUAGGUAGUUGGUGAGGUAAAGGCUCACCAAGGCGACGAUCUGUAGCGGGUCUGAGAGGAUGAUCCGCCACACUGGUACUGAGAUACGGACCAGACUCCUACGGGAGGCAGCAGUAGGGAAUAUUGGUCAAUGGGCGCAAGCCUGAACCAGCCAUGCCGCGUGCAGGAAGAAUGCCCUCUGGGUUGUAAACUGCUUUUGACAGGGAAGAAAUCACUUAUGCGUAAGUGUCUGACGGUACCUGUAGAAUAAGCACCGGCUAACUACGUG
rnacentral:rRNA from 1 species